rnacentral:tRNA from 1 species
UCCAUGGAGGACUACUGGCUAGGCCACAGCGCUCUCACCGCUGCAGCCCGGGUUCGAUUCCCAGCCAGGGCU